rnacentral:rRNA from 1 species
AACGAACGCUGGCGGCAUGCCUAACACAUGCAAGUCGAACGAGACCUUCGGGUCUAGUGGCGCACGGGUGCGUAACGCGUGGGAAUCUGCCCUUAGGUUCGGAAUAACUCCCCGAAAGGGGUGCUAAUACCGGAUAAUGUCUUCGGACCAAAGAUUUAUCGCCUUUGGAUGGGCCCGCGUUGGAUUAGCUAGUUGGUAGGGUAAAAGCCUACCAAGGCGACGAUCCAUAGCUGGUCUGAGAGGAUGAUCAGCCACACUGGGACUGAGACACGGCCCAGACUCCUACGGGAGGCAGCAGUGGGGAAUAUUGGACAAUGGGCGAAAGCCUGAUCCAGCAAUGCCGCGUGAGUGAUGAAAGCCUUAGGGUUGUAAAGCUCUUUUACCCGGGAUGAUAAUGACAGUACCGGGAGAAUAAGCUCCGGCUAACUCCGUG